rnacentral:rRNA from 1 species
CAGCAGCCGCGGUAAUACGUAGGUGGCAAGCGUUGUCCGGAUUUAUUGGGCGUAAAGCGAGCGCAGGCGGUCAAUUAAGUCUGAUGUGAAAGCCCACGGCUCAACCGUGGAGGGUCAUUGGAAACUGUUAAACUUGAGUGCAGGAGAGAAAAGUGGAAUUCCUAGUGUAGCGGUGAAAUGCGUAGAGAUUAGGAGGAACACCAGUGGCGAAGGCGGCUUUUUGGCCUGUAACUGACACUGAGGCGCGAAAGCGUGGGGAGCAAACAGGAUUAGAUACCCGUGUAGUCCCUGUCUCUUAUAC